rnacentral:tRNA from 1 species
GGAAGUGUGCCCGAAAGUUAAGGACCUCCUUGAUAAGGAGGACAAUAAG